rnacentral:misc_RNA from 1 species
GAUGAAGAACGUAGCGAAAUGCGAUAAGUAAUGUGAAUUGCAGAAUUCAGUGAAUCAUCGAAUCUUUGAACGCACAUUGCGCCCGCCAGUAUUCUGGCGGGCAUGCCUGUUCGAGCGUCAUUUCAACCAUCAAGCCCCCCGGCUUGUGUUGGGGACCUGCGGCUGCCGCAGGCCCUGAAAAGCAGUGGCGGGCUCGCUGUCACACCGAGCGUAGUAGAUCUCAUCUCGCUCAGGGCGUGCUGCAGGUUCCGGCCGUUAAACCACCUUCAUAACCCAAGGUUGACCUCGGAUCAGGUAGGAAGACCCGCUGAACUUAAGCAUAUCAAUAAGCGGAGGA